rnacentral:rRNA from 1 species
UACGUAGGGGGCAAGCGUUGUCCGGAAUUAUUGGGCGUAAAGCGCGCGCAGGCGGUCAUUUAAGUCUGGUGUUUAAGGCCAAGGCUCAACCUUGGUUCGCACUGGAAGCUGGGUGACUUGAGUGCAGAAGAGGAGAGUGGAAUUCCACGUGUAGCGGUGAAAUGCGUAGAUAUGUGGAGGAACACCAGUGGCGAAGGCGACUCUCUGGGCUGUAACUGACGCUGAGGCGCGAAAGCGUGGGGAGCAAACAGG